rnacentral:lncRNA from 1 species
AUCCCUUUAUAGUGUGGUGCUGAACUCAUGGUGUCUAAUAAUAGCUUUCAUUACACAUUGCCUUCUCCUUAAGGCUAAACCGGCUAUUCAUCUCUUUCGAGCAUAUUUUUUAUUUAAAGAACAUCCUAAGGAGGUUAGAUGGUGGUACACCUCUCCUCAGAUGGGAUCAUGAUCUAGUAGUGAUUAAUCUAGCCACUAUCGAUGAUCACCAGACAGUAGCAUGAGGUUGGGUGUGGCUGAGCUCAUGCAGAUCCAUAAUUUUGAUGGUUUAGAUUAGC